rnacentral:lncRNA from 1 species
CGCAGGCAAGCAGAGCUGCCUGAAGCCAGCAACAGAGCCUGCUCCACAAAGCUGCCUCUGCAGCCUCCUGGUGGCUCACAGCCCCAUCCAUAGGCUCUCCCGGACAGGUGCUCCCCAGAGAAAUCCAGCAGACACUAGCUGGCCCUCAUGUCAGUCAUACCCAGCUCCAGGCCGGUCUCCACCUUGGCACCUGACAAUGAUUUUAGAGAGAUCCACAACUGGACAGAGCUGCUCCAUCUCUUCAACCAAACCUUUUCUGAUUGCCACAUGGAACUCAAUGAGAACACCAAACAAGUGGUCCUCUUUGUCUUCUACCUGGCCAUCUUUGUGCACUCCAUCAUCAUUACCAAAGAGGGCAGCCUGCCCGCUGCAGCGGAUCUGCACACCCACGCCAUCAGAAACGUGCAGG